rnacentral:rRNA from 1 species
UGGGGAAUCAUGGUCAAUGGGCGAAAGCCUGAACCUGCGACGCUGCGUGAGUGAUGAAGGUCGUAAGAUCGUAAAACUCUUUUCAGGGAUCUUAAAGCCUGUCUGUCAACAACAGGCAGGUCUGACUCUCCCUGGAAGAAGCCCCAGCCAACUACGUGCCAGCAGCUGCGGUAAUACGUAGGGGGCGAGCGUUAUUCGGAAUUACUGGGGGUAAAGGGUAUGUAGGCGGCCCUUCAAGUCGCGUGUCAAAGUCCAGUGCUCAACGCUGGGUGUGCACGCGAUACUGACGGGCUUGAGGGCUGGAGAGGUGAGCGGAAUUCCCGGUGUAGUGGUAAAAUACGUAGAGAUCGGGAGGAACACCAGCGGCGCAGGCGGCUCACUAGACAGUUUCUGACGCUAAGAUACGAAAGCGUGGGGAGCAAACA